rnacentral:rRNA from 1 species
CGGGGAAUUUUGGACAAUGGGGGCAACCCUGAUCCAGCCAUGCCGCGUGAGUGAAGAAGGCCUUCGGGUUGUAAAGCUCUUUCGGACGGAACGAAAUGGUCAGGGUGAAUAUCCCUGACUGAUGACGGUACUGUAAGAAGAAGCACCGGCUAACUCCGUGCCAGCAGCCGCGGUAAGACGGAGGGUGCAAACGUUGUUCGGAUUCACUGGGCAUAAAGCGCACGUAGGCGGCUCGUUUAGUCAGACGUGAAAUCCCCGGCUCAACCGGGGAAUGGCAUCUGAUACUGGCGGGCUCGAGGUCGAUAGGGGUGAGCGGAACUCCAGGUGGAGCGGUGAAAUGCGUAGAUAUCUGGAGGAACACCGGUGGCGAAAGCGGCUCACUAGGCCGACACUGACGCUAAGGUGCGAAAGCUAGGGUAGCAAACGGGGAUU